ACCAACUAGCUCAGUCAGUAAAGCAUGGGACUCUUAAUCCCGGGCUCGUGGGUGCGAGCCCCAUGUUGUGUG
rnacentral:tRNA from 1 species